rnacentral:rRNA from 1 species
GAUGAACGCUAGCGGCAGGCUUAAUACAUGCAAGUCGAGGGGCAGCAGUUUUGUAGCAAUACAGAAGCUGGCGACCGGCAAACGGGUGCGGAACACGUACGCAACCUUCCUUUAACUGGAAGAUAGCCCACCGAAAGGUGGAUUAAUACUCCAUAACAUAUUGAAGAGGCAUCUCUUUGAUAUUAAAGCUCCGGCGGUUAAAGAUGGGCGUGCGUCUGAUUAGGUAGUUGGCGGGGUAACGGCCCACCAAGCCUUCGAUCAGUAGCUGAUGUGAGAGCAUGAUCAGCCACACGGGCACUGAGACACGGGCCCGACUCCUACGGGAGGCAGCAGUAAGGAAUAUUGGUCAAUGGACGCAAGUCUGAACCAGCCAUGCCGCGUGGAGGAUGAAGGCCCUCUGGGUUGUAAACUUCUUUUCUUUGGGACGAAACCCCUGUUUCUACGGGGACUGACGGUACCAGAGGAAUAAGCACCGGCUAACUCCGUGCCAGCCGCCGCGGUAA